AAUUAAUUGAGUUGAAGUUCUUCACUUACGCUCCGUCUUGCAUGCUUAGUGCUAGGGUCCUUACAACUUGUUGGCAGGUGGCGCGUUUCUUUCUUAAAAAUGGUAUAUGUGCAGUCACAUACUUUUUUUUUUUUUUUUUUUUUUGUACUGAGGAUCGAACUCUGGACCUUGCGCUUUUGAGGCAAACAGCGGAACCACUGAGCUAAAUCCCCGGCCCAGUCACAUACCUUUUUAAAGGCACACUUAAAAGAACGUUCUAUUAUUGUAGAUGCAAACUAUCUUGUAAAAUAUUUCUUUAAAACCUACCAAAAAAGGAAGGUUGUGUUUUCCACAUAUGCAUGGGGAUCUAGCAGUAAUGGUGUAUCCUAAAGUAUUCAACCCUGUAGCCUGGAUAAGUUUUACUCUUAAAACCAAAAUAACACAAAAGGAAUUAUUUUCAGUGUAACAAAAGCACUGCUUCCACCCCUAGGCUUCCUCUCUUAAACCCACUUUUGACCAACUCUGCUAAAUAUUUCUGUCAUUUGCAGUCACUGGAAAAUUCACAAACCCACAGCACCAGUCCCCUUCUGGGGCAAAGAAGCGUAUUGUCAUUAUUUCCACUCCAUUGGAGCCGUGUGCCCCUUCCUCGUUUUUGUUUUAUUUUGUUUUGCUUUUCCUUGGUCUUAUAGUAGGGGUAUUGGUCAGAGCUGCUAAAAAUGUAAGACAAUUAAAAGUCUUUAGCUGUUAGCAAAUGUGUUAGCUUUACUCUUUUUUUGUCUUAUGUGCUCUUUAGGCACGAAAGCCUUCUUUUUAUCGCUUGACAGUGACUGUUAACAGUUGAAUCACGCAUCGUGAUGAAAGAUGAUAGGGUGAUAACAGCUUCCACUUAAGUUGCUUUGAAAUGACUUCUACAGCACCAUGUCAAGAGUCAUGGGUCUCCAGCCAUCCCACCCUGAACGCACCCGAUCUCAUCUGAUGUUGGAGGAAUCAUUUAUGGGCAGCCGGACUGAAUGCUGCAGACAGGGCGGCAUUUCCCAUUUCACCCGACUUCAGGCGAAGCCCC
rnacentral:lncRNA from 1 species